rnacentral:rRNA from 1 species
UACGUAGGGGGCAAGCGUUGUCCGGAUUUAUUGGGCGUAAAGAGCGUGUAGGCGGCCAAGUAAGUCUGCUGUGAAAACUCGAGGCUUAACCUCGAGCUGUCGGCGGAAACUAUUUGGCUAGAGUCCGGAAGAGGAGAAUGGAAUUCCCGGUGUAGCGGUGAAAUGCGCAGAUAUCGGGAGGAACACCAGUGGCGAAGGCGGUUGCCUGGAGCUUUGCUGACGCUGAUGCGCGAAAGCGUGGGGAGCGAUCCGG